AAGGCGGCAUCGCCAUCUGAAAUGGACCCUCACAGGAAGAGUUCAUUUAGAAGGAAGUCCCUUUGGUGCCUGCUGAGUCUGACGUGCUGGGGGGCCCGCCAUCCAGCUGGAGAUGAGGGACCUGCAGGAUGACUGCAGAACGGAGCACGAUUCUGUGGGCUGGAUGGAUGAAAUAACAGUGACGAUGCUUGUGCAGCAAAUCAAAGAGCCGAAUGAGCCAGACCAACUCAAGUCAACUUAGAAAGGUCAGCAGGUGGUGUGGUGAAGAUGCUAGACACUCCCACGUGAUU